UAAGACCUUUCGCUUUCGGAGUGGCCGAUAUCAGAUUAGCUAGUUGGUGAGGUAAAGGCUCACCAAGGCGACGAUCUGUAGCGGGUCUGAGAGGAUGAUCCGCCACACUGGGACUGAGACACGGCCCAGACUCCUACGGGAGGCAGCAGUGGGGAAUUUUGGACAAUGGGCGCAAGCCUGAUCCAGCCAUGCCGCGUGAGUGAAGAAGGCCUUCGGGUUGUAAAGCUCUUUCAGCCGGAAAGAAAUCGUGCAGAUUAAUACUCUGCAUGGAUGACGGUACCGGAAGAAGAAGCACCGGCUAACUACGUGCCAGCAGCCGCGGUAAUACGUAGGGUGCGAGCGUUAAUCGGAAUUACUGGGCGUAAAGCGUGCGCAGGCGGUUUUGUAAGACAGACGUGAAAUCCCCGGGCUUAACCUGGGAACUGCGUUUGAAACUACAAAG
rnacentral:rRNA from 1 species